rnacentral:misc_RNA from 1 species
GAAGCUUGGGAUGUGACAACAAGGACUGUUGCAUAUACCAAUCACACAGUUCUUCCUGAAGCGCUAGAGAAAUGGUCACAGGUUAUAAUGACGAAACUUCUUCCCCGUCAUAUGGAGAUCAUAGAAGAGAUUGACAAGCGGUUUGUGGCAAUGAUCCAUUCCACCAGGCCUGAUAUGGAGAGCAAACUCUCUGCUAUGCGAGUUCUAGAUGGUUCUAAUCCCCAGAAGCCUGUAGUACGCAUGGCUAAUUUGUGUGUUGUGUCAUCACAUACGGUAAAUGGAGUAGCCCAGUUACAUAGUGAUAUCUUAAAAUCAGAGUUAUUUGAAGACUAUGUGUCUCUUUGGCCGACCAAGUUUCAGAACAAAACCAAUGGCAUUACACCUCGUCGAUGGCUUCAUUUUUGCAGUCCGGAAUUGAGUGGCAUAAUCACCAAAUGGCUGAAAACAGAUGGAUGGAUCACUAACCUUGAUCUCCUUUCUGGACUUCGUCAAUUUGCUGACAAUGAGGAGUUGCAUGUUGAGUGGGCUUCAGCCAAAAUGGCAAACAAACUUCGGCUGGCAGAGUAUAUUUUGAGCAUAACAGGUGUAACAAUCGACCCAAAUAGCCUCUUUGACAUACAAGUUAAGCGCAUCCAUGAAUAUAAGAGGCAGCUGCUGAACAUUCUUGGUGCUGUAUAUAGAUACAAGAAACUGAAGGAAAUGAGCAUGGAGGAGAGAAAAAAAGUGACACCACGGACUAUCAUGCUUGGAGGAAAAGCUUUUUCGACAUAUACCAAUGCUAAAAAAAUAGUUAAACUGGUGAAUGAUGUUGGUGCUGUGGUCAACAAUGAUUCUGAAAUCAACAGCUAUCUCAAGGUUGUCUUUGUACCAAACUACAAUGUAUCUGUAGCUGAAAAACUCAUUCCCGGAAGUGAACUCUCUCAGCACAUUAGCACAGCAGGCAUGGAGGCUAGUGGGACCAGCAACAUGAAAUUUUCACUAAAUGGUUGUCUGAUAAUUGGAACUUUGGAUGGCGCGAAUGUAGAAAUCAAAGAAGAGAUUGGGGAGGAGAAUUUUUUCCUUUUCGGUGCCAAAGCAGAUGAAGUCCCGAGAUUGCGCAAGGAGAGAGAAGAUGGACUGUUCCAGACGGAUUCCCGGUUUGAGGAAGCCAAGCAGUUUAUAAGGAGUGGUGCAUUUGGUAGCUAUGAUUACAACCCUCUCCUAGACUCUUUGGAAGGAAAUUCCGGAUAUGGACGUGGGGAUUAUUUUCUGGUUGGCUAUGACUUCCCAAGCUAUAUUGAUAUGCAAGCCAAGGUGGACGAAGCAUACAAGGAUCGUAAAAGAUGGCUGAAGAUGUCUAUUUUGAGCACUGCAGGCUGCGGUAAAUUCAGCAGCGAUCGCACGAUUUCGCAAUAUGCGAAAGAGAUAUGGAAAAUUGAAGCAUGCCCUGUUCCAUAAGCUGUUGAAAUACUCAACAGAGUUAUAGAUAAAUAAGAUCGCCAUCUGCCUUAUGACUAUGUACAGGCAGAAUUUGGUGGCACUCAUAAAUGUUUAGUGUUGCGAGUUGCUUGUAUGUAAAUAAGGAGAAUGUGAUUCCCAGUCCUA